GACAUAUUUAUAGCUAACCCUAGUACAGGUGAAAUCAUCAGGAAUAUGCCCCUUUCUAUGGAGUCCUUUAUGUGUCUUAACUGCAUACCAUAGUGUUUUCUCUCAGGUGAUAACUGAAAGAGAAUCCAUGCCAUUGUUUCUACCACCAGUUCCAACAAAACCAAAAUAUGAAUAUGGCCUUUAUAAUGUAUGAAGACUCCUCAAUUAUGUGUAUUGCAGUGGACUCUCUUUGCAGAUCAGAAGAAGACUGAGAAACCUCAUUUUUGAAAAGUGUCCUAAAGAAUGUGAUUGAAGUAAAUUUUAUCUGGGCACAAUGAUUGUUUUCAUGAGUAUCGUUGGACUAAAUUUCAGGAGUUGGAAUGACUGAGACAAUAGUUGAAUGAAGAAGUCAGGAUGGUGGAAUUAUAAGGGCUUCAUCUCAGUGCUUUCAUAAAAUAUUCCCUGUCUAUAUUCGCAUUUUUUUCUCUCAGUUGAUGUUUACAGUUAUUUUGCAAGUUGGAAAAAAAUGCAGUCUUAAUUUCAUUUGCACCAAAUUUAAUAGAUUAAUUAGGAGAGAAUAGAUCUCUUUAAAAUUGAGUCUUCCUAUCCAUCUAUAAGUUAUACUGAGGUGGUACCGGAUUAUGAAAGGACACUUUCUUCACUCCCUGUCAUUUCCAUAUCAAUCCACAUCAUUGUACUUAUUUAUCAUUUUUAUGGACUUCCGUCUUCAAAAAUUCUGCAUUUACCAUAGAGACCUUUCCUUCAGGUGAUGACCAUGUGGACAAUAGGACCUUCUACAGUGGCUCCAUUUACAGCAUCAACUACAUGUGUUAUUGCUCCUUUCUCGGAUUUUGUCUCGUCUUUGUAUCUCAAGGGGCAGAACUUUUAUAGAUGUGUGCCCAGGAAAAGAAGUGACCUGCUUUGGGGGAAAGUAAUUGCCUGGAGUGUUUUUAAGUUCUUUUCUGUGGUCUAUUCAAUAUAUUCUGUACCUCCCUCUAUUAGUGUAUGUUACUUAUUUUAUAUUUUUUAAUUUAUAUUUUACUUUACAAAUGAAAAUGGAUUUAUGUGUAGUUGUUGUAAUUAAGUCAAUCCCAUGGACACCUUAAUCACUCCCCUGAUGAUAACCAGGCUUGGUGAGAUGCCAAAUGCCUGUGGUAUGCCAGGUUUUUUUGUUGGUUUGUUUUGCCAUCUGUAAGAUUCUUUCUUUCUUAUUUGAAUUAGGAGCCCACAGUUUUUGAACAGGUCCCAAACAGGAUUGUCUUAAAUUGACUAGACCUUAUAUAAUUACCUUUUUGUUGAACCUGAUGGAUCUCAUUCUAGAUCAGGAUCUAGAUCUGAAUUUGAGACUGACUAUAGUUUACAUCUUCCCCUAUGCCUAAACCUAAGAUGGUUCCAUGGCAGCUGUGGGCAUGUAUGGGAGAGCCAGACCCUUGCCCUGACAUUUUGAGCCAUUUUGAUGCCAUCUUAAAGAACAUGUGGUACACUCAUUUUCUUUGUAUGAGAAAGUAUCAAGAAAUAUAUAUUUAGGGUUGGAAUAAAAAUCUCAGUGUACUCAAGAGAUUUCUUUUUUACCCACAUUGCCUUGAUUUUCAUUUGUUUUCUGUAUAGCCUAAGUGGGCUUCAUAUAAAAUAUUGUUUAUUUCAAGUUUUUAUUGUCUACUUCUGGAACAUAAACUGCACAUUCCAUCAGGAAACUACUAACUGCAUUGCCCAACCUGUCUUCAUGUAUAGGUUUAUACAAGUAUAUAUAUGUACUGAUGAUGUUACUUCUUUAUAGUAGAUUUAGCAAUAAAAAAAUUGCAGAAUUUUUAAGACUA